AUGCAUCUACGAGCGCUCCUCUCCGUCCUAGCAGCGACAUGCUUGCUGCUGCACCAAUUGACCACGCCGGCGGCGGCGGCCGUGGCGACGUGUUCGCCAAAGGCUUGCGGUAACGUGACCAUCCAGUACCCGUUCUGGCUCACGGACGCCGCCCAGCCCGCGCCGUGCGGCCCGUCGGCGUUCCAGGUGGACUGCCGCGGCGGGCGCGCGUCGCUGGCCCGCUCCUUCCGCGGCGGGUACAAGCUCCUCAGCGUCUCCUACGCCGACCGCGCCGUGGUCGUGGCCAACGACAACGUGCAGACGGACGACGCCGGCUGCCCCGUGCCCAAGAUCGACGUCUCCGCCAGCCUCAGCCUCGCGCCCUUCUCCGCCAGCGCCGCCAACCGCCAGCUCCUCUUCCUCUUCAACUGCACGAACCCCGCGGCGGCCGGGUUCGUCGACGUCAUCUGCCCCGGGACGACUGCCGUGGUUCGGCUCGACGCGCGGUACAACAACACCGACGCGAGGGCCGUGGCUGCCGGGUGCGACUACGCCGUGGUGCCGGUGGCCGGGUCCACGUCGCCGGGCGCCAGCGCUGGGGUGGAGUACCCGCGGCUGCUGAGGGAAGGGUACCUUCUGCAGUGGAGGGCGCCGGCCGGGGACUGCGGCACGUGCGGCGCUAGCGGCGGCCAGUGCGGGUACGACUCCGACGCCGAGGCGUUCGCGUGCGUUUGCGCCGACGGCUCAUCGCGACCGGCGAGAUGCGAUGGGAAGAAAUCCAGCAACAAGGUCAUCCUGAUAGUAUCACUCUCUGUCACGAUUGGUCUGAUCCUGUUGGCAUGCCUCGUCAUCGCCUUGAAGUUUCAUCGACAAAUCCGCAGCAUGAGUUUUGUAUCCAACAUCAUGGACAAAAACAUCAAAGCUGACAACGCAAACGUUGAGAAGCUGAUCAAGAAGUACGGCUCCCUGGCUCCCCGGAGGUACAGGUACUCGGAGCUUAAGAAGAUAACCAGCAAUUUCAAGCACAAGCUCGGCGAAGGCGGCUACGGCGCGGUGUUCCUCGGCACUCUCGGUGACCGGCGGGCGGUCGCCGUCAAGUUCCUGCACCACUCCAGGCCCAACGGCGAGGAUUUCCUCAACGAGGUGAUCAGCAUCGGCCGGACGUCCCACGUCAACAUCGUCACCUUGCUCGGGUUCUGCCUCGAGGGCUCCAAGCGCGCCCUCGUCUACGAGCACAUGCCCAACGGCUCCCUCGACAGGUACAUCUACUCGUCACCGUCGUCGAAGCCAGAGCCCCCGGCGACAAGACUCGAAUGGGAGACGCUUCAGGAGAUCGCGUCGGGGGUGGCACGGGGGCUGGAGUACCUGCACGAGGGGUGCAACACGCGCAUCAUCCACUUCGACGUGAAGCCGCACAACGUGCUGCUGGAUGAAGGGUUCCGGCCCAAGGUGGCCGACUUCGGAAUGGCCAAGCUGUGCGACCCCACGGAGAGCAUCCUGUCCAUGGCCGACGCCAGGGGCACCGUGGGGUUCAUCGCGCCGGAGGUCUUCUCCCGGGGGUUUGGGGUCGUGUCCGCCAAGUCCGACGUGUAUAGCUACGGGAUGCUGCUGCUGGAGAUGGUCGGGGGCCGGAGCAACGUCAAGGCCUACGCCGCCGCCAAGGAGACCGACAUGUUCUUCCCGCUCUGGAUCUACGAUCACCUGCUCGGCAACGGCGGCGUGCUGGUCGCGCGACAGGAGGGUGGAGGCGACGCCGAGGAGGAGACCAUCGCGAGGAAAAUGGCGUUGGUCGGGCUGUGGUGCAUACAGACCGUUCCGGCGAGCCGGCCGUCGAUGGCCAAAGUGCUGGAGAUGCUGGAGAGGAGCAUCGACGAGCUGGCCAUGCCGCCGAGGCCGUACCACCCUUCUUCUCCUUCCAACUCUCCUUCUCUGUCGCACUCACUGCCGUCGAGCUAUCCAUCUUCUGCAUCGGGCUUCACUCAAGGAUCAAGAUCGUUUACAACAGAGAGCACAAAAUAA
rnacentral:rRNA from 1 species